ensembl:snRNA U7 U7 small nuclear RNA
UAGUGUUACACUCUUUUAGAAUUUGCCUGGUAGGCUUUGCAGUUUUUACCAGAAAGCCCCU